rnacentral:rRNA from 1 species
GACGAACGCUGGCGGCGUGCCUAAUACAUGCAAGUAGAACGCUGAAGGAGGAGCUUGCUUCUUUGGAUGAGUUGCGAACGGGUGAGUAACGCGUAGGUAACCUGCCUGGUAGCGGGGGAUAACUAUUGGAAACGAUAGCUAAUACCGCAUAACAUUGACUAUUGCAUGAUAGUCAGUUAAAAGGUGCAAUUGCACCACUACCAGAUGGACCUGCGUUGUAUUAGCUAGUUGGUGGGGUAACGGCUCACCAAGGCGACGAUACAUAGCCGACCUGAGAGGGUGAUCGGCCACACUGGGACUGAGACACGGCCCAGACUCCUACGGGAGGCAGCAGUAGGGAAUCUUCGGCAAUGGACGGAAGUCUGACCGAGCAACGCCGCGUGAGUGAAGAAGGUUUUCGGAUCGUAAAGCUCUGUUGUAAGAGAAGAAACGAGUGUGAGAGUGGAAAAGUUCACCACUGUG